rnacentral:rRNA from 1 species
UGAGUAACCUGCCCUUAACUCUGGGAUCAGCCUGGGAAACUGGGUCUAAUACCGGAUAUGACUCCUCAUCGCAUGGUGGGGGGUGGAAAGCUUUAUUGUGGUUUUGGAUGGACUCGCGGCCUAUCAGCUUGUUGGUGAGGUAAUGGCUCACCAAGGCGACGACGGGUAGCCGGCCUGAGAGGGUGACCGGCCACACUGGGACUGAGACACGGCCCAGACUCCUACGGGAGCAG